CUGCUUCGUCCUCCGGGUUCGGCACCGGAAAAAGACCCGACCCGCCUAGGCGCCCGCCUAGCCGCCUAGAGACCGCCUAGCGACCGCCUAGCAGCCUAGCGGGCGUUCUUGAAGGGUUCAACGACAAUUCACAAGAUGCACAUUCUUGAAGUUCAUAAACAACCUUUCUGAUGACCCGCUGCUGAAGACGCUUGGGCCUAACUUCAGAUCCUAUUUCUAUCGAGCUUUUCAUCAGUUCAAGAGAGUCUUUGCAGAAUUUAAAAGGUCUCACCAUGAGGUUUUCUUACCAUGAAUGCAUAUGCUAUAUUGUGGAGGACUGCACCAUUAUUUACAAUCACGACCGCCUAGGCCAAUUUUCUUUUUACAGUUACAACAUUUCAUCGAAGAGAAACUGGAAAAGAAUGAAUUCACAGCAGCUCUUGCAAAUGAGGAAUUAGUUUUCUUUAUGAGUUGCUCUCAUCAAAACUCACUAGCUGAAAGCGUCACAAGUUCUGACUGAAAGAAAUUUUCGAGAAUUUGAUAUUGUUAACAGGGUGCUCUGCAGCUCAGUGAUACUCACCCAUCUCUAAAAAAUAGCUGAGGUCAUGAGAGUGCUUGUUGAUGAAGAGCAUUUGGGUUGGAAUAAAGCGUGGGACAUUGCUUGCAACUGGCUUGCGAGCAUAUGCAACAGAUCCUGACCUUCGCCAAGAAUGGAUGAUGGUUAAGAAGGUUAACAAAAUGAGGCUCGCUGAGUACAUUGAAGCAAUGAGUGGUGUGAAGGUUAGUUUAGAUGCAAUGUUUGAUGUGCACACAAAGCGAAUACACGAGUACA